rnacentral:rRNA from 1 species
AACGCUGGCGGCAUGCCUUACACAUGCAAGUCGAACGGCAGCACGGGGCAACCUGGGUGGCGAGUGGCGAACGGGUGAGUAAUGCAUCGGAACGUGCCAUUGAGUGGGGGGUAACGUAGCGAAAGUUACGCUAAUACCGCAUAUUCUGUGAGCAGGAAAGCAGGGGAUCGCAAGACCUUGCGCUCUUUGAGCGGCCGAUGUCAGAUUAGCUAGUUGGUGAGGUAACGGCUUACCAAGGCGACGAUCUGUAGCGGGUCUGAGAGGAUGAUCCGCCACACUGGAACUGAGACACGGUCCAGACUCCUACGGGAGGCAGCAGUGGGGAAUUUUGGACAAUGGGGGCAACCCUGAUCCAGCCAUGCCGCGUGAGUGAAGAAGGCCUUCGGGUUGUAAAGCUCUUUCGGCCGGGAAGAAAUCGCAUGGGUUAAUACCCUGUGUGGAUGACGGUACCGGCAUAAGAAGCACCGGCUAACUACGUG